GAUUCGGGGAGUUCAACCUGCUAAGAUCUUCCGAGGGGAAUUCGCAAACUCGCGGUUUCAGGGAAGACGAACUAGCUGUUCGGGGUGAAACGGGCGAGGGGUUUCCGAACGAUUGUCCUACGCCGAAGGUAUGAGAUGGAUUGAAAUUUGAGUUAAAUCGCUCAAUUUCUCUUCGCGAGGAGUUAAGCGAUUUCCGGGCUCAGGCUUUCUCCACACCGCGGCGUUCUGACUUGAAACCCCAGCGGCUCACUUUAUCCAGUUCCGCGAAGGAGGCUACAGGUGUCCUUUUUUCUAGUGCGCGUCGUGAUCUUUCUAGUUAGAUAGCUAGAAGCUUAGGGCCGUUUUCGUGUGGCGGCAGUAGUGUGCUCGCGUUGGAAAAACAGGUGUUUCGGCCACGCUACAGGCCCAAUCCACUCGCCGUCACGCUGCGAAACGCCCCUGGAUCGACCCAGGACAUCACCAGCCCAGGCCCGGCAACGCUACGCCGGACGAACCGCGUACGUCACCACACGUGGUUCCGGAACUGACCGGCUUCCGCCGGAGAAGGACGGUAGCAACCGUCAACCAUCU